ACAUCUGGGUUUCAAGAAACUCUUUUACCAUGAUCACGAAGGUGGUUUUCCCAGGGCGAGGCUUAUCCAUUGCACUCCGGAUGUGCUGACCCCUGUGAUUUCCCCAAAUUUGGGAAACUGGACUGCAUAAUUUGUGGUAGUGCAGGACUGCGUUCGCGCUCUCCCCUG
ensembl:snRNA Gm25704 predicted gene, 25704